rnacentral:rRNA from 14 species
CUUGGCUUGCAGAGGCGAUGAAGGACGUGAUAAGCUGCGAUAAGCUACGAGGAGGUGCACAUAACCUUUGAUUCGUAGAUUUCCGAAUGGGGCAACCCGGCUGGUUGAAGACCAGUCACCUUUUAAAGGAGCGAACCCGGAGAACUGAAACAUCUAAGUACCCGGAGGAAGAGAAAAUAAUUAAUGAUUCCGAUAGUAGCGGCGAGCGAAAUCGGAUUAGCCCAAACCAAUUCUGUUUUGGCAGAGUUGGGGUUGUAGGACCACGUUGUGAGAUGUUCCACGAAUUAGAAUCAACUGGAAAGUUGAACCAAAGAGGGUGAUAGUCCCGUAUAGGUAAGUGCGAAUUAUUUCUAGUGGUAUCCUGAGUAGGGCGGGACAUGUGAAAUCCUGUCUGAAUCUACCAGAACCAUCUGGUAAGGCUAAAUACUCCUGCAAGACCGAUAGCGAA